AAUAGUUCCACAAAUGUGAGUGAUUUCUUACACGGGAAUGUUAUAUAAUAUAAAAUAACUAGUCCAUUAAUGAAAAAGUCACCGUAGUUUAAAUAUAAUCAUCACAUUUUUCAGAUUUUACAGACUCCAGCAAUCCAGAAGGGGUUCCCAGCCACUGAUAGGAUGAUAAUGCAGUAAUAAAGAUGAUUAUGUUCUCAUUGUUUACACAAAAAGAAAUGUAAAUUACCUAAGACAAAGUGAAAUUACCUUGAAAAUACUGUCAGUUUCUAGAACCAGUUUGCUACCUACUGUUCUUUACUGAAUUUUCUAAAGAGGUAGAAGUGUUCAGCUCUCACAGAAGCCUGAUCAAUGAGGAAGUCUUUGUUAGGCACCUGUAAACUUCCCUAACAUGGUAUUUUCUCGUUUACGGUUCCCCGAAACUUUCUGAGGGUGUUUCCUAAACUCAGGAAAGGUUUGAUUGUGUUGAUUUGUAAUUGCCAAGGCUGUUUUCUAUAUGCCAGGACAGCUGUUAAGAACUGAAAAAUUGUGUGAGCCAAAUGUUCUCUGAAUUAUUCAUGUGUCAUUCAUUCAUUUAUUCAACAAAUAUUUUUUCAGCACUAUGCUGCCCAGGCCUUGAGUAAGGCACCCGUGGACCCUUCCUUUAAUCUUCACAGCAACACUGCAAGACGGGUCAGCACCAUAAAGUCAUAUUUGCAGCAGACAAUAUACUACUUUUUAUUGCAUCCACACACUGCCCUUACUAUUGAGAUCUUCAAGGGAGCUGGAGUGGGUUUUUGGCUAAUACACAGACCAUUCUAUCUAACACUGGAGCAACCAAUGGAGAAGACUGAGGACCAGGUGUCCUACCUGUCUUAGGGGAAAAAGGAUCAAUUUUGAUUAAGAUCACUAUCAUUUGUCUUCAGAGGGACCCGGAACUUUACAUCCAACCUGAAAAGCCAGAAUGCCUCAAGCCAUAGUAGCCAACAGUCCCCUCCUCGACAGGAACACCUGUGAUGUCCAGUUCCGUUAUAGGCUAAUACCAGGCAAAUUACUGGCAUCACCAGUCUGAACGACAAACUCAAGCAACAGAAGACAAGUACCUUGGCACAGGUGGCUUCUUCCCUGGCAGGGGGCUACUUCUGUCAUGCCUUUCGGUGGCUGGUGGUAAAGGAGGCUUUUGCAUCUUGGGUAAGUGCUCCCCGAGAGGCCUGCAGAGUUGAGAGAAAGGAGGUGUGGGUAAGAAACUGAACUAUUUCUACAGCAUAUACCGUGUACCCUCACAUGGAUGCAACAAGGCACCUUACCUUCCCACUGGAGCCGAGGGCUGUAAAACAGGAGGGAAGACAUGUGAGUGUCCUCAGUACUUCUCAGAACAAAGACAAGAUACAAAAUAAAACAAAAAUGAAGACAAAACAAAAUAGGGAAACAGCUUACCUUGUCAGGAAACGCUGGCUUCUUUCCUGUAAGUAACAAAUAGCAGGCAGACCUUGAAUACUUUAUCAGCUAAGCAUGAAGUAUUAAAACAUAGUCUGGGCGGUGGGGGCAGGGGCUCCGGGAUGGCUCAGUCAGUUGAGUGUCCAACUUCAGCUCAGGCCAUGAUCUCACUGUGUGUGGGUUUGAGCCCCACAUUGGGCUCUGCACUGACAGCACGGAGCCUGCUUCAGAUUCUCUAUCUCCCUCUCUCUGCCGCUCCCUCCCUCACGCUAUCUCUCUCUCUCAGAAAUAAACAUUAAAACACAGUUUGAUGAAACCAUAAAUACGAGCGCCUGAGGGGGCUGAUUGGGUUUAAGCAUUGAAGAAUCAUAGACUUUCAACCUGGAAGAUCCCGAUAUAGAACAGCUAAUUUUACAGGCUUAGAGAAAUUAAGGGACUUGCCCAAGAUCACACAGAGUUGUGUACAUACAAACAGUAUUUUGGAUUCUGUGAUUCUUUUCAACAUUUUAUUUUAUGUAACCGAUGAUAAGAAGGAUUAAUGUCUCUUGGGGAUUUUAUGCUUCUUUCACUGACUAAAUGUUUUGUUUUGUUUUGUUUUG